rnacentral:lncRNA from 10 species
ACUUUCAACUAUCCCAUUCUUUAUAGAAAGACACAGUACUGUAUGUGACCUAGCUCAAGUAUUUUUCGAUUUCAUUCUAGGGUGGGUGCCUCAUACCCAUGGACUCUACAGAAAUUGCAAGUGGGAGAUUGUUAUACAAUUUCUUUUUAUCCUCAUAGUGACCAAGUUUUGGGUAAUUCACAAUUAUCACUGCAUUGAUUCCUCAUAAUUGUCCUGUUCUGUUGGACAUUAAAUUCCCAUUUGGUAGAUGAGGAAGCUAAAAACAAGACAGUUUAGUCAACUAACUAACCCAAGGUCAUCUAAUUUGUAAUUGACAGUGCUAGUAACUUGAAUCCAAGUUUGACUAACUCCAAAACCCAUUUCUGUGUAUCAUAUACCUGCCUCCCCAUUAAUCUGCCUUAAUUCAGUCUUACACAUAUUUUCCUUUGUCCAUUUCUCAAAAAGUCACACUAUCAAUAUCAACUCCUAUUUUACGUUCUAAACACAACUUUUAAAUUUUCAUCAGAAUUCUUCCUAUUAUUAAAUUUCAUUUUGCUUAAGAGAAGUAAGCACCUGGGCUGUACAUACACCACCUCUGUCUGAUCCUUCUCCAGGGGUUAAGCAUGCAUUUGGAAGCCUACAUAGCCACGUGUUGUACUGCCUUUCCUUAGAUACAGUGCAACAAAAAUAUCAAUCAAAAAUGCCAUGCCCACAGAAACCUUAGGACCUUUAUUAAAAUAAACAAGCAUACUUUAUUCUAAGUUCCAAGAAAAAGGUUUUAAUCUUUUAGUUCAAAUAAAUAAUGUUUUUCAAUAGAGUCAGAGACUGUUUCCCAUGGAGCUCUGUUAGUACAUGAAGCCUUUUUAGAAUGUUACAUAGUUAUCAUUUCUUCCCACUUUCAUGGUUUCUUAUCAAAUAUACAUCUUACGUAUUUGACUUAGUUGUGAGAAGUUGCUCAUUUGAUCAAAGCUACCCUGCUUAUUGCAAAUGUGGAUUGGGAGGAGCUCUAUAAACUGUUACCUCUUGUUCAAACUGUACUACAUUUUUUUGGUAACCUACCACCUAUAUGUGGGUAGUAACAGAAACACAGCGAAUGAUCGUAACUUUUUCCAAGUGAAAUUUCACCAUCAGUUUCAAUCAUGCAAAGUGACUGAACAUGAGAUAAUGGUUUUCAUGGUCUUAGAAUUGUUUUCCACAACAUAUUUUAC